ensembl:rRNA 5S_rRNA 5S ribosomal RNA
GUCUACGGCCAUACCACCCUGAACGCGCCCGAUCUCGUCUGAUCUCGGAAGCUAAGCAGGGUCGGGCCUGGUUAGUACUUGGAUGGGAGAAAAGCAGAAGAACCUUUUACU